UACGUAGGGCGCAAGCGUUGUCCGGAAUUAUUGGGCGUAAAGAGCUCGUAGGCGGCUUGUCACGUCGGGUGUGAAAGCCCGGGGCUUAACCCCCGGGUCUGCAUUCGAUACGGGCAGGCUAGAGUGUGGUAGGGGGAGAUCGGAAUUCCUGGUGUAGCGGUGAAAUGCGCAGAUAUCAGGAGGAACACCGGUGGCGAAGGCGGAUCUCUGGGCCAUUACUGACGCUGAGGAGCGAAAGCGCGGGGAGCGAACAGG
rnacentral:rRNA from 1 species